GAUGAAGAACGCAGCGAAAUGCGAUAAGUAAUGUGAAUUGCAGAAUUCAGUGAAUCAUCGAAUCUUUGAACGCACAUUGCGCCCCUUGGUAUUCCGGGGGGCAUGCCUGUUCGAGCGUCAUUAUAACCCCUCAAGCUCAGCUUGGUGUUGGGGCCUGCCUACUGGCAGCCCUUAAAAUCAGUGGCGGCGCCAUCUGGCUCUAAGCGUAGUAAUUUCUCUCGCUAUAGGGUCCCGGUGGACGUUUGCCAACAACCCCCAAUUUUUUAAUGGUUGACCUCGGAUCAGGUAGGGAUACCCGCUGAACUUAAGCAUAUCAAUAAGCGGAGGA
rnacentral:misc_RNA from 1 species